rnacentral:lncRNA from 1 species
CUCAAAAAUUUUUCAAGUAUUUUUCUUCCCUCUCCACCAGACACUAUUUGCCAUAUAUGGGGACGAUGUGCCAAGAAGCUCACCUCGGAGUUGCCAUUGUGGCACAAUGGUUAACGAAUCCGACUAGGAGACAUAAGGUUGCGGGUUCGGUCCCUGCCCUUGCACAGUGGGUAAACGAUCUGGCAUUGCCAUGAACUCUUGUGUAGCUUGCAGACGUGGCUCAGAUCCCGCGGUGCUGUGGCUCUGGUGUAGGCUGGUGGAUGCAGCUCCGAUUCGACCCCUAGACUGGAAAACCUACAUAUGCUGUGGUACCGGCAAAAGAAAUGGCAAAAAAUAAAUAAAUAAAUAAAAAGCCUACCCGAAUCGAGGGAAGAGAGAACGAUGCCCGGGAGCGCCUUAACUUCACGCCGGGCGCAAGGGCGGAAGGGGGCCGAUUGGUUGACAGCCGGCUGCCUUGCCUUAAGAAGCAGGGCGUCUGAUGUCAAGCCGCCUCUCCCUCUGCCGACUGCCUGCCUGCUGCCUGCCUGCCUGCCUGCCUGCUGUGCAAGAAGCCUACCCGAAUCGAGGGAAGAGAGAACGAUGCCCGGGAGCGCCUUAACUUCACGCCGGGCGCAAGGGCGGAAGGGGGCCGAUUGGUUGACAGCGCGCUGCCUUGCCUUAAGAAGCAGGGCGUCUGAUGUCAGUGAGUGGGCGGUUUCGUUGGGGCGAGAGGCCUG